GCCAGACUCCUACGGGAGGCAGCAGUGGGGGAUAUUGCACAAUGGGGGGAACCCUGAUGCAGCGACGCCGCGUGGGUGAAGGAGCGUUUCGGCGCGUAAAGCCCUAUCGGCAGGGAAGAAGAUGACGGUACCUGACCAAGAAGCCCCGGCUAACUACGUGCCAGCAGCCGCGGUAAUACGUAGGGGGCAAGCGUUAUCCGGAGUUACUGGGUGUAAAGGGGGCGCAGGCGGCAAUGCAAGCCAGGAGUGAAAGCCCGGGGCCCAACCCCGGGACUGCUCUUGGAACUGCAUGGCUGGAGUACAGGAGGGGCAGGCGGAAUUCCUAGUGUAGCGGUGAAAUGCGUAGAUAUUAGGGGGAACACCAGUGGCGAAGGCGGCUUACUGGACUGUAACUGACGUUGAGGCUCGAAAGCGUGGGGAGCAAACAGGAUUAGAUACCCUAGUA
rnacentral:rRNA from 1 species